CGGGGAGUAGCGCAGGUGGUAGCGCAUCAAAUUCGGGAUUUGAGGGUCGCCGGUUCAAAUCCGGUCUCCCCGACCA
rnacentral:tRNA from 1 species